CUCAGUGGCCAUAGUGAACUCUGGGGCUUCCACAGCCACACUCUUACCCCAACUUUCCAGGCAGCCCCAGUGUUCCUCAGAAGAGGCCUACAAUGAGCUAUUGCAGUCACCAGAUGGACUCAUGCAUGCAGCAGGUGGGCCAGAUGGCAAGGCGCCCUGUCUGAUGCUGCCUGCCCGGGCAUAGGCUGCCUCUUCCUUCCAGACAUACAGGGAAGGCUUCAGGAUACAUCCUAGCAUAUGCACAGAGGCAGGAGCACCAGUCUGAAAUAUUCCAUCUCAGCUUCAAGAAGUGAAAAGGACUCCCGGGGAGUGGGGUAAAGUCGUGGAGAUGGUGGAGAAGAUGCUCAUUGUCACAAAUGUUCUGCAAAAAGCACAGAUGAAGACAAGCUGUACAGGAGGCUCUUGGGUACAAACCUACACAAAGGCGGACCGUGCUUCUCAUCAACGGUGAAGAUGAAGAUACCGAAGCCAGGCUGUUAUGGCUUUUGGUGGUAUAGAAAAUAUUGGCUACACCUAAGUGGGGACUAUCCUUUGUCAUAUUUUCCCUAUGUCUUUUCUGAAAAACAGUAUCUCCCUUUUAAAGUUUGGCAUCCUAUAUCACUGUUACAGUGAAUACUGUGUUAAGGAAGCUGGACACAUGACACUGAGCUAUUAACAGACAGGCACUCGGUAACAUGGAGUAUAAAUUUUAAUUGAGCAUAAACACUUGACAAAAACUCUCCCGAGAUGUUUCUGGCACAUUCCAACUGGCAAUGGCACCAUGGUACUAUGAUUUGAC